rnacentral:tRNA from 1 species
GGAAGAGUGGCAGAGUGGCCUAUUGCGGCAGUCUUGAAAACUGUUGUUGGGCAACCAACCGUGGGUUCGAAUCCUACCUCUUCCG